ensembl:miRNA
GUUUCUCUGUAUAGCCCUGGCUGUCCUGGAACUCACUCUGUAGACCAGGCUGGCCUUGAACUCAGAAAUUCGCCUGCUUCUGCCUCCCAAGUGCUGGGACUAAAGGCAUGCGCCACCACUGCCCG